rnacentral:rRNA from 1 species
CCUACGGGUGGCUGCAGUGAGGAAUAUUGGUCAAUGGCCGGGAGGCUGAACCAGCCACGUCGCGUGAGGGAAGACGGCCCUACGGGUUGUAAACCUCUUUUGUCAGGGAGCAAGGUGCAGGUCGGGACCUGCUGUGAGAGUACCUGAAGAAAAAGCAUCGGCUACCUCCGUGCCAGCAGCCGCGGUAAUACGGAGGAUGCGAGCGUUAUCCGGAUUUAUUGGGUUUAAAGGGUGCGCAGGCGGAGGCACAAGUCAGCGGUAAAAUCGCGGGGCUCAACCCCGCUCCGCCGUUGAAACUGAUAGUCUUGAGUGAAGUAGAGGCAAGCGGAAUUCCUAGUGUAGCGGUGAAAUGCGUAGAUAUUAGGAGGAACACCAGUGGCGAAGGCGGCUUGCUGGGCUUUUACUGACGCUGAGGCUCGAAAGCGUGGGGAGCAAACAGGAUUAGAUACCCUAGUAGUC